rnacentral:rRNA from 1 species
GGUGAGUAACGCGUGGGUAACCUACCCUGUACACACGGAUAACAGACCGAAAGGUAUGCUAAUACGGGAUAAUAUAUUUGAGAGGCAUCUCUUGAAUAUCAAAGGUGAGCAAGUACAGGAUGGACCCGCGUCUGAUUAGCUAGUUGGUAAGGUAACGGCUUACCAAGGCGACGAUCAGUAGCCGACCUGAGAGGGUGAUCGGCCACAU